rnacentral:rRNA from 1 species
AACGGAGUUUUGUGAGGGAAGUCUACGGAUGGACGUUAUAAAACUUAGUGGCGGACGGGUGAGUAACGCGUGGGCAACCUGCCGUAUACAGGGGGAUAACAUCUGGAAACAGUUGCUAACACCGCAUAAGCGCACGGUACCGCAUGGUACCGAGUGAAAAUCUCCGGAGGUAUACGAUGGGCCCGCGUCUGAUUAGCAAGUUGGUGGGGUAACGGCCUACCAAAGCGACGAUCAGUAGCCGGCCUGAGAGGGUGGACGGCCACAUUGGGACUGAGACACGGCCCAAACUCCUACGGGAGGCAGCAGUGGGGGAUAUUGCACAAUGGGGGAAACCCUGAUGCAGCGACGCCGCGUGAGUGAAGAAGCAAUUCGUUGCGUAAAGCUCUAUCAGCAGGGAAGAAGAAAUGACGGUACCUGAAUAAGAAGCCCCGGCUAACUACGUGCCAGCAGCCGCGGUAAUACGUAGGGGGCAAGCGUUAUCCGGAUUUACUGGGUGUAAAGGGAGCGUAGACGGCAGUGCAAGUCCGAUGUGAAAACCCGGGGCUCAACCCUGGGAGUGCAUUGGAAACUGUACGGCUGGAGUGCAGGAGAGGUAAGCGGAAUUCCUGGUGUAGCGGUGAAAUGCGUAGAUUUCUGGAGGAACACCAGUGGCGAAGGCGGCUUACUGGACUGUAACUGACGUUGAGGCUCGAAAGCGUGG